AGCGCCCCGCAGGGGAGCGGCAGACGGGUGAGUAACGCGUGGGAACGUACCCUUUACUACGGAAUAACGCAGGGAAACUUGUGCUAAUACCGUAUGUGCCCUUCGGGGGAAAGAUUUAUCGGUAAAGGAUCGGCCCGCGUUGGAUUAGCUAGUUGGUGGGGUAAAGGCCUACCAAGGCGACGAUCCAUAGCUGGUCUGAGAGGAUGAUCAGCCACAUUGGGACUGAGACACGGCCCAAACUCCUACGGGAGGCAGCAGUGGGGAAUAUUGGACAAUGGGCGCAAGCCUGAUCCAGCCAUGCCGCGUGAGUGAUGAAGGCCCUAGGGUUGUAAAGCUCUUUCACCGGAGAAGAUAAUGACGGUAUCCGGAGAAGAAGCCCCGGCUAACUUCGUGCCAGCAGCCGCGGUAAUACGAAGGGGGCUAGCGUUGUUCGGAAUUACUGGGCGUAAAGCGCACGUAGGCGGAUCGAUCAGUCAGGGGUGAAAUCCCAGGGCUCAACCCUGGAACUGCCUUUGAUACUGUCGAUCUGGAGUAUGGAAGAGGUGAGUGGAAUUCCGAGUGUAGAGGUGAAAUUCGUAGAUAUUCGGAGGAACACCAGUGGCGAAGGCGGCUCACUGGUCCAUUACUGACGCUG
rnacentral:rRNA from 1 species